rnacentral:rRNA from 1 species
GAUGAACGCUGGCGGCGUGCUUAACACAUGCAAGUCGAACGGAAAGGCCAGUGCUUGCACUGGUGCUCGAGUGGCGAACGGGUGAGUAACACGUGGGUGAUCUGCCCUGCACUUUGGGAUAAGCCUGGGAAACUGGGUCUAAUACCAGAUAGGACCAUGCUUUGGAUGGUGUGGUGGAAAGUUUUUUCGGUGUGGGAUGAGCUUGCGGCCUAUCAGCUUGUUGGUGGGGUAAUGGCCUACCAAGGCGUCGACGGGUAGCCGGCCUGAGAGGGUGUACGGCCACAUUGGGACUGAGAUACGGCCCAGACUCCUACGGGAGGCAGCAGUGGGGAAUAUUGCACAAUGGGCGCAAGCCUGAUGCAGCGACGCCGCGUGGGGGAUGACGGCCUUCGGGUUGUAAACUCCUUUCGCAACUGACGAAGCUUUUUGUGUCGGUAGGUUGAGAAGAAGCACCGGCUAACUACGUG